rnacentral:lncRNA from 1 species
UGCUAUUCUUAUUUCUAAGUGAAAUUGUGUGUGUUUAUUGUUAUGUAUUUAGAUCACAACUUCAUAGGUAUUAAUGAAGGAUUGAUUAUGAUUUCAAGUGGAACCUUAUGAAAAGGACUAAAUAGAGGAUUGGGAACUUUGUUAGAGGAUAAGAAAAUUGUUCUUGCAUUUGCUUGCCGAGUGAUUUUCUAUUGUUUGAUUCACAAAUCAAGCAAUAUAUUCUUUAGUUUAGAUGUAAUUAUCUCUUGUAAUCGAGUUGUGUAACAAAUUAAAUAUUGAAUAUGCAUGUACAUUUUGCAGGUGUGUACUUUGCUGUAAAAUGGUUGAUUAUCUUGCAUCAAAGAAGGUAAAGCUUUA